rnacentral:rRNA from 1 species
ACGGCGAGUGAACCGGGAUGAGCUCAAAUUUAAAAUCUGGCGUCUUUCAGGCGUCCGAGUUGUAAUCUAUAGAGGCGUUUUCCGCGCCGGACCGCGUCCAAGUCUCUUGGAAUAGAGUAUCAAAGAGGGUGACAAUCCCGUACUUGACGCGACAACCGGUGCUCUGUGAUACGUUCUCAAUGAGUCGAGUUGUUUGGGAAUGCAGCUCUAAAUGGGUGGUAAAUUCCAUCUAAGGCUAAAUAUUGGCGAGAGACCGAUAGCGAACAAGUACCGUGAGGGAAAGAUGAAAAGCACUUUGGAAAGAGAGUUAAACAGCACGUGAAAUUGUUAAAAGGGAAACGAUUGAAGUCAGUCGUGUGAAAGGUAUUCAGCCGUCUCUGGCGGUGUAUUUGCCUUUCACGGGUCAACAUCAGUUUGAUCCGGUAGAAAAAGGCGGGAGGAAGGUGGCACCCUCGGGUGUGUUAUAGCCUCCUGUCAUAUGUGCCGGACCAGACUGAGGAACGCAGCUUGCCGCAAGGCCGGGGUUCGCCCACGUACAAGCUUAGGA